AUACUUACCUGGCAGGGGACAUAGCAUGAUUACCAAGAUGUGGUUUUCUGGGAGUGUUGUUCACCCAUUGCACUCUGAAUGUGCUGACCUUUGUGAUUUCCCCUAAUGUAAGAAACUCAACUGUAUAAUCUGUGGUAGUGGAGUACUGCAUUUAUUCUCUCCCCUG
ensembl:snRNA U1 U1 spliceosomal RNA